rnacentral:misc_RNA from 1 species
GAUGAAGAACGUAGCAAAAUGCGAUAAGUAAUGUGAAUUGCAGAAUUCAGUGAAUCAUCGAAUCUUUGAACGCACAUUGCGCCCGCUGGUAUUCCGGCGGGCAUGCCUGUUCGAGCGUCAUUUCAACCCUCAAGCCCCCGGGUUUGGUGUUGGGGAUCGGCUCUGCCCUUCUGGGCGGUGCCGCCCCCGAAAUACAUUGGCGGUCUCGCUGCAGCCUCCAUUGCGUAGUAGCUAACACCUCGCAACUGGAACGCGGCGCGGCAUGCCGUAAAACCCCAACUUCUGAAUGUUGACCUCGGAUCAGGUAGGAAUACCCGCUGAACUUAAGCAUAUCAAUAAGCGGAGGA